rnacentral:RNase_P_RNA from 1 species
AAUGGAAGGUGACCGAGCUUAAACGUCGUUUAGGUUAGGAAAGUCCAUGCUAGUACUAGCUGCGAUGCUAGUAGUGAUUGUGCUUGAGGAAACAAUAACUCAAGGUACUACAUUUAGUAGUAACGGCGGAUCUUUUAACCCUCGUGGUUAAAAGCCAUAAAGUGCCACAGAGACUAAACUAACAGCAAUGUUAGAGUGAAAAGGGUAAACCCCGCAAACUAGCAACCCAAAUAUUGGUAGGGGCACAUUAAAGCGCGAAAUGAAGCGACUUUGAUGCUCAAAAGAGAGAUAAAUGGUCACACUACGAAAGUAGAACAGAACAUGGCUUAUGCAC